GGUAGGGUAGCUGAGUGGUUUAGCUCUUCUAAUCUUUUAGAAGGUAUACGUAGGUUCGAUUCCUACCCCGUACCA
rnacentral:tRNA from 1 species